rfam:Schistosoma mansoni strain Puerto Rico chromosome 4, complete genome
UUCCGAGCUGACGAGUCCCAAAGAGAAGGAAACGCGCGUCCUGGAU